rnacentral:rRNA from 1 species
AAGCGGUGGAUGAUGUGAUUAAUUCGAUGCAACGCGAAAACCUUACCUACCCUUGACAUGGUCGGAAUCCCGCAGAGAUGUGGGAGUGCUCGAAAGAGAACCGGCACACAGGUGCUGCAUGGCUGUCGUCAGCUCGUGUCGUGAGAUGUUGGGUUAAGUCCCGCAACGAGCGCAACCCUUGUCAUUAGUUGCUACGAAAGGGCACUCUAAUGAGACUGCCGGUGACAAACCGGAGGAAGGUGGGGAUGACGUCAAGUCCUCAUGGCCCUUAUGGGUAGGGCUUCACACGUCAUACAAUGGUCGGUACAGAGGGCUGCCAACCCGCAAGGGGGAGCCAAUCCCUUAAAACCGAUCGUAGUCCGGAUUGAGGUCUGCAACUCGACCUCAUGAAGUCGGAAUCGCUAGUAAUCGCGGAUCAGCAUGUCGCGGUGAAUACGUUCCCGGGUCUU